AGGCUUAACAUGGGAAGUGAAUCAAAUCAAUUAUUACUGACCUACUACUUAUUUAGUUGUGCAGUAAAUUAUACCAUGUUUACCAGUUAUUCACCACAAUCACAUUUGCCAUGUCACUCAGCACACUUCACAAAUGAAAUAUAAAUCAUAUAUAAUGUUCUAAAGUAACAUCUUUUAAAGUCAUACCACUUCAGUUCUUAAUGCAAAGACAAUUUCUGAGUUAUUUCUCCCAAAGUUACAUAAAACUUUCUUUUCAAUAGUGACAUGUACAUAAAAGCUUAUUUUGGUGUCUCUGAAAUGAACAAUACAAACUCUUGAAGGUCACAGACCUGAGGUCAAAGCGAUGCACUGGCAUGUCCCCAGCUUUCCCUGUUUUUGUUCUCUUUGAAGGAAUCCUACCAUAUAUCUGCAUUAAGAAUUAACCCUUAUACAAGGCAUGAUGUCAUGGCGUGGGCCAUUGUCGGGGCCACACUCCUUCUCUGUGAACCGGUGUGAGAUCAGGGCAGCAGCAGGAGGCCAAAAGACUCAGCCAAGGAGCCCCUCCCUCUGGGGCCACAAUAGGAGCAGCUGCGAGGCGUUUGGGAAAAGUGUGACAACUAAAGAGCAUUCAGGGCUCAGUCAAGCAGUGGCCUUGUGUCCCCUGCCUCACUCACCAAUAAGGAGGUGGAGACAGAGAUGGCCGUGAAAGGGAAAGGAAUAUGUUUGGUUUGCAAAUUAGCCAAAACAUUGGCUGUGACCCUCAGAGGAGUGUGAGAAAAAAAGGAAAACUUCCUCCUAAGGUGAUUACAGAGAUGAUCCCACAAGGUCUUCCCAUUCAAAAUAGGUGUCUUAGAUUAAAAAAAAUACUGAAAUUCUCUGUCAGUUUCCCUUCAGAGCACAGACUAUACACAUGACAGUAUGUCUUUUUUGAACCGAUGUUCAUCUCUCAUCUGUGACAGCGAUGCAAAUGUUUGUGUCUGAAAGCAACCAUCACUGUGACGCUAACUCUGUGCUGAAAGCCUCAUUCAUUACCUCACCAGCCUCCUCAGACAAGCUGUGGUUUGGGUGACAUAUGUGCAACUCCUCAACCCCCCCAACCACACCAGCCCCUCUGCCUUUGUGUCUUUAGAUUUCCUGUUGUCAGGAGGGGGGCUGGCAGCAGCGUGUGUGUUUGUGUCUCCGUGUGUGUGAAAGUCGUUAGGCGUCUUUUAUGAUCUGAUGAGGGUGCUUUGGAGGGAAAAAAGCCCUCAGUCAACUGCCAGAUGAUGGACAUUAAGGUGUUGGGAUGUGGAAAUGAGUGUGUGGGUGUGUGAGACUGUCUGUGUGUGGUGUGAGGCAAUGUCAAGGUGUUAUCAAAAUUUGUCCAAACUCUGCAACAAAGCUUUGAAUUUUGACCAAAAUAGAAAUCACAUUAUUUCUUCCUCAGUGUGGUCGAUACAUUCACUCUUAUCAUAGCCUCUUGUUUUUUUGUCAGUAUUAUUCAAAUAUAAAUGACCUUAAUGUCACUUUGUUGUCAGUUGGCUGUUCAAUUUCACAGCUAAGCUUUGACUCAACAUCAAAGUCCUUUUAAUUAACACCAACCUAAGAAAACAAAGCUUAUAUAAUGCGUCUGACUCUGCUGCCAUGACAGGAAGGGACAUAAUCCCACUCCUCCCUUUUAGCACUGUUCACUUUGGAUCAAAUACAGCAGCUCUGUUUUCGCUCUUAUGUAAGACACAUGACUUUAUGACAUCAGGAGACAUAUUCCCACAUCUUUCAGGAAUGUGGCUGGCACAUCUGAAUUUAAUGGGACCGGAUGUUUGAAAAAACCAUUAAAACUCCCUGAUCUGUUUGAAUAUCACAAAGUGGAAAUAUUUAGGGAAGGACAGUUCAGAUAUUGAAUUUCCCCUCGUGGAUCAAUAAGGUUCUUCUUAUCUUAUCAAAUAAUGAAAUGUCCCGAUGAAAGUUACUUCAUUAAAUAGUUUGAUUAAGUAUGAGCCCAUUUUAAGUUUCAUUUUACGUCACAACAGCAUGCUGUAAAAACGAUUGUUAACCUUUUUAAGGGCGAAAAUUCUCAGAGAUGUAGAGCCAAGUUUAAGAAGAAAAAGUUCAUAUUACAUGAAUAGAUUCAUCGAGUCAUGAGAAAAGUCAUCAUUUGAUGUUCACUCAGUCAGCCCCCUGAACUUAAAUGAGGAAUGUAGAACAUCUUGUGACAUUACAUUUGAGCGCUUAAAUAACUGAAUAUGUCGUCUUUUAGCACUAAAGCACCACAUCAUCAUAAAUAACAGGACUCUGAAUCGAUUUAAGACUGGGCAGUCUGAACGGCAGCCUCAGUAUGUUUUCAAAAACAGUUUGUCCUCAGCGAUUAAACACAACCUCACAAGAUGAUCUCUCUUCCUGAUUUUGUGCAGGCAGCUGGUGCUCCUCUGAUGUCCCCAUGUACCUAAUUUAACAAAUAGAUUAAUAUUGCCUGUAACUCUGGCUUUUACGUAAUACAAAAUCUAUUCUCAUAAGACUUCCCUUAUCCUUGUAAAUUUAUGUUUCUAAUCUUGAGCAACAUGUUCAUUUUUGGAAAAACUACAACUCAUUUUUUCAAAUAGAUUUACCAUUUUUCCUGUUAGUUUUCAGCAAGUCUCAUUAAAGAGUUCAUUCUUGUAUCUGACCCCUUUUUUGAAUUUUACAACUUUAACCUUGUGAAACCAUGACUUAUUCAGUCACAACAAAACUACGAUUACAUCUUUAUUGUUGAAAUCUCAAAGUGUUAUCAUCCUUAAUGCAGCCCAGUCCUAUAACAGCAAGAUGAAGUUUUCCAUUUGAAAACACAGCUUAUACAAGGUGGACAAAAUAAGUAAAGUGUGAAACCUAACACAAACCUUCAGCUCCUAACAGGAGCUUUAAAAUAGCAAUGAGGAACUCAAGCAUCUAUCCUUGGGCCCCAGAUGGUAAAACGCUUUUAUAUAUCUGUUUUACAGUUAUCUUGUGGGGAGAGAGGUCAUUCUUUCCUGUUAGUUUCUUUUGGCCUCCAUGUACAUCUCUCCAGCCCUCUCUGAUUCAACAGCCCUUUAAAGAGUUAAAUCAAACAGGGAUGGCCUUCAUUUAGAGAUCCCACUUUCAAGGUUGUAACCUGGUUUGACAUAUUUGCUCUGGCAGGAUUUAGACAAGCAGAUCGUACUGCAGGUAAAAAAGUUAACAUCAACUGAUGCAUUUUUUUCUGCACAUUUUGCAAGUUACACUAUCUGAUCACAAAAGAUGUGUCUAUAAAUGCAUGGGAUAUUAUGUUUCAGCCUAAUUUAUAACUGUCAUUAACAUGUGACUGACAAAUUUUAGUUAAAAAUAAGCAGUAAUCUGCAGUUUGACUUUACUGUCUUUGUUCAGCUUAACAUCAGUAUUCAGUUCCUGUAAAACUGUGUUCUAUCUCUGAGCUUAGACAUUGUUUCUUUAACCAGUGACAAAGGUCAAAAUUACACAACAGACUUCUCCAAAUGAGCAACUUUGACAAAGAUAAAUCUGCAUCAAACCAGAAAUACCUCAGCUGUACGCUACCAUGACAACAAGACAAAAACAGACCCAAAAUUUCUCAGAAGUGAAGACCCACUAAACUUAACCGCACUUCCUGAGUGAGGAAGUAACAUGCGAACACAAUUGCAGUCUGAUUAGUCGAGGAUGCAAAGUAAUUACACCUCUCACCGUUUACCCUACCUCCAAACUUAAUUAAUUUAGUCUCUCACUCACACACACACACAUAGACCUCCAUUCUCACUCACGCACAAUAUCCUGAGUGGGGAGAUUUAGUCCACACAUUGAUGUCAACGGCACACUACUCACCUGCAGUAAAUCUGUAAGAGGAUUAAGAGUGUGACGGUAGGCCUCAGUAACAUGUUUCAGCUGUGGCGUCAUAUUGGCUUCUUCUAAUCUUUACAUCAGCACCAAGUGAAGACGUUCGCAAACAGUCUGUCGAGCCAGAUGCCAAAUCUCAUGCUGGUUUUGUUGCUACAGGGUCAGCUGUGAGCUUUUCUGUAAAAGAGGGCGAUGUCUCCAAGCCAAAAGAUACCUUGGAAAUGUAAAAUUAGCAGAGACAUGCUACAGGUACCAUGUAUUACAUGAAUUCUUAAGACAGAAUAUAACAGUAGUAAUUAGUUGUGUGAUAGGCUUAUUAUUUAAUCCGCACACGAUAUUGAAGACCCUGAAAUACACAACCCCAAAAGUUGGGAUGCUAUGUAAAAUGUGAAAAAAAGGUAGAUUUUAAUGGUUGACAAAUCAGUUGACAAAUGGUUGAUAAACUUUGCAAAGACUUCUUGACUAAUUACAUAUUAGAAACUGGACUUUUUAGUGAAAAAUGGGUGCUCAUUUAAAGUCAGUUAGGACUGGGAUGUGUUGACCAUUGAGUCCCUUAAGCUCUACUUUCAACAACACUCUGUUAACAUUUGAGAUCUGACAAAACCAGUUUCUAGAGUUCUGGAGGUGAAAUGUUCCACACAGGCCUGAUACUGGAUUUUCUGCUCCUAACCAGUUUGCAUCUCCUUUGUUGUUUAUGAUCAAAAGAAUGUACACAUUUUGAUUUGUUGGGUUGCCGAACAGUUCUACAUUUUACCUCAUUUCACUUUUAAUGGGCUUGGCUUCGUUUUUUUUUUUUUUUGGACCAUGUGUUUUCCUCUUUGCAUUUUCCAGUUUUAAACCUGCAUUUGUGGGUAAAGCUACAGACAGGAAGGGAUUAUGAAGCCAUGCAGUGAUUUCCAUUAUAGAGUCAUUUCAGAUUUUAAUGCAGUGUUGCCUGAGGGCCAAAGAUCUCCACCAACCAGUAUUGGCUUAUGGCCUUGUACCGUUUGUAAAGAGAUUUCUUCAGAUUCUCUGAAUCUUGUCAUGACAUUAUUGGCCAUGAUAAAAUCCCCAAAGCCUUUGCAAUUUUA
rnacentral:lncRNA from 1 species